CCUCCUCCUCCCCCUCACCUUCUCUCCCUCUCCCAAAGGAGGGAAGGUAAUGGAAGGGAUCUGAUCGGAGCGGUGGAUCUGCGCCCUUGCCGUCUCUUCUUUUCUUCACGGAUUCCAGGAGGAGAUCGAAGUGGGAGGUAGACGAGCAGGAGCGCCGCGUCCGCGACAACGAUGAACGACGACCCAGGUUCUCGUCUCCCAUGGCAGGGGCCGGCGAGUGGCAACAGAUGCGGGACACCAACUGGUGGCGCAACGGACAGCGGGAGAUCGGCUGGUGGCAACGGAUGGCAGGAGGCCGCACGACCGUGCGAGGAGCAGGUAGCUGGAGGAUGUCGCCGGUGGAAAUCUGGCAAGUGGCGGCGACAUAGAGGGCUUAUGGAAUUGAAAUCUGAAGACAUGGUGAUUUUUACCCAAUGGGUUAUGCCCUUGAGCACGAAGAUCUUUUGAACUUUGAGGUUCAGGACCACGCGUGCUUCUCACAUUUAUUGAGACAGAGAGUAUUAAUCGACAGCGGUUCAAGUUUCUACAAUGAGCUAUACAUCAUCUAAACUCACAUGGAUAUACCAGGUCUGCCUUUCCCUACAAUUUAAGCCUUUGUUUUGGCAGGUAUCAGUCACCUGGUGCUAAACUUGGUGCUUAAUGAUCAACUAGAACAAAGUUUCAUAGCCUUCCAGAUUUGUCAAAUCUACAAUAACAGGAUAAUUCCUGUUAGACAUGUUAUUCUACUGGUACAUGUUAACGGAAUUCUUGUAUUUUGGAAGGAGAAAACAUUGAGUGGAGCUAUUAUGCAAUUCAAGUGGCAUGGUCAUCUGAGAUUUUGUUUUUUCUUAAUCGUGACAUGUGUUAAUAUUGUGCAAAUCAGAAUAUCAUUUUUUAGGUUUGCAAAUAAAAUUAACUUGAAUAAAGUAUUUUGAACUUAGUGAGCAUAACAGUGUUUUGUAGUGUGAGGAUAAUAAGGUGAAGUGAGGCUGCUGCUCACUGGUGGCUCGCCGGCCAUCCGAGAGCCGGAAUUGCGGCCCCACGCGAGGGAAAGAUCAGCGUUGCUGCAGCCACCGCAGGACACCCACCAUGCGCGUACCAUACAGGCAGCAGCAGCCUCACUUCACCUUGGAUGACAUGACGAUUAUGAAAUAUUCAGUCAUCCCCCUUGGGUCUACCUGUUAGAAACUUGGACCUACUCAUGUGUUUGA